CAGUUCGGAUUGAAGGCUGAAAUUCGCCUUCAUGAAGCCGGAAUUGCUAGUAAUGGCAGGUCAGCAUACUGCCGUGAAUACGUUCCCGGGCCUUGUACACACCGCCCGUCACACCAUGAGAGUUGGGAAUACCCGAAGCCUGUGAGCUAACGUUAAGAGGCAGCAGUCGAAGGUAGAAUCAAUGAUUGGGGUGAAGUCGUAACAAGGUAAC
rnacentral:rRNA from 1 species